UCUGCCCACAUCGGUAACACAUAAAACUGGAACAAUACAGAGAAGAUCAGCAUGGUGCAGAUGACAUACAAAUCCGUCAGUAUCCCACUUCUUAA
ensembl:snRNA predicted gene, 22558